AGAGUUUGAUCAUGGCUCAGAUUGAACGCUGGCGGUAGGCUUAACACAUGCAAGUCGUGCGAGAAAGUACCUUCGGGUGCGAGUAGAGCGGCGGACGGGUGAGUAACGCGUAGGAAUCUACCUAGUAGAAGGGGAUAGCCCGGGGAAACUCGGAUUAAUACCGUAUACCUCCUAAGGGAGAAAGAGGGCUUAGCUUUGAUGCUCUCGCUAUUAGAUGAGCCUGCGUAAGAUUAGCUUGUUGGUGAGGUAAUGGCUCACCAAGGCGACGAUCUUUAGCUGGUCUGAGAGGACGAUCAGCCACAUUGGGACUGAGACACGGCCCAGACUCCUACGGGAGGCAGCAGUGGGGAAUAUUGGACAAUGGGCGCAAGCCUGAUCCAGCCAUACCGCGUGUGUGAAGAAGGCUUUCGGGUUGUAAAGCACUUUAAGUAAGGAGGAAAAGAUUGUAGUUAAUACCUGCAAUCCGUGACGUUACUUACAGAAUAAGGACCGGCUAAUUCCGUGCCAGCAGCCGCGGUAAUACGGAAGGUCCAAGCGUUAAUCGGAAUUACUGGGCGUAAAGCGCGCGUAGGUGGUUUUUUAAGUUGGAUGUGAAAGCCCUGGGCUCAACCUAGGAACUGCAUCCAAAACUAGAUGACUAGAGUACGAAAGAGGGAAGUAGAAUUCACAGUGUAGCGGUGGAAUGCGUAGAUAUUGUGAAGAAUACCAAUGGCGAAGGCAGCUUCCUGGUUUCUGUACUGACACUGAGGUGCGAAAGCGUGGGUAGCGAACAGGAUUAGAUACCCUGNUAGUCCACGCCGUAAACGAUGACAACUAGCUGUUGGGAGACAGAUCUCUCAGUGCGCAGCUAACGCUUUNAGUUGUCCGCCUGGGNGUACGGCGCAAGGU
rnacentral:rRNA from 1 species